AACCAAUCUUCCAAUCCUCUGCUUCAUCUUGCUUUUUGCUUCUAAAAAAUCUAAAACGAAAACUGCCGAGGCUGACUCAUUUUUCUUGUGAUAGCAAUACAAAUAUUGAGGGUGUCGUAUGGCGAGUCUCAUAACUAUGCCUGCUUUAAGCCACUUAUCCACCAACACUAUCAGCCUAGAACGAAGAAAUUUAUGUGCAUCCUCCAGGAGACGUCGAGGAGUUAGGGCAAUGAUGACAGAAAAACCACUGGAGGAGCUGUAUCAUGUGAGAGUAGAGAGAAAUGUAACAAAAGAUCGACUAAUGGAGCUUGGUGUUCAACGAUGGUCAAUGUGGAAAACCGGCAAAUGCAAGUUACCUUGGGAUUGGCAUGUAGACCAGUUGGUUUACAUUGAAGAAGGUGAGGUAAGGGUUGUACCUGAAGGAAGCAAAAGAUUUAUGCAGUUUGUAGCAGGCGACCUUGUCCGCUAUCCAAAAUGGUUUGAAGCUGAUCUCUACUUUAAUGACUUCUACCAAGAGCGAUAUAGAUUUCAAGCAUAUGGAGAUGACUAGUGAAUCAAUUUCCUACAACUAGGCUCUUAAUUCCCGGGCUUCUAGUUACUGCACUUGCUAGUUAUCUGUUUCAUAAGCAUAUUUAGAUUGCUGUUGUAAUACAAAUGGUAGAACAUGGUAAUGGUAAGGUGGCCAGAUAACAUUCAAUCCAUUAGUGGUACGAAUGAUUUAUCUUUUCACCGGCCAAUUCCGACAUAGAUCUUGACUACAAUCUUCCGUCAUCUCCUCUCUGGAUGAUAAACGUUUUUUUUUUCGGCCA
rnacentral:misc_RNA from 1 species